rnacentral:lncRNA from 1 species
UAUAUUUAUUUUGUUAACUUAGCUCACAUGCUGGUGGUUCCCAAAAAAGAAAAUAAAGAAAUUGCUUCUCUGAGCAUAGCUGGAUACGACUGCAAUACUACCCUUCUUUAGAAGUAGCCUAGUCCUAUAGAUCUGUCUGACUAGUCUACUCUUAUAGUUUAUCUAACCUAAUAAUGACUUCAUGGUUCAGCUAUUAAGCAAGCUAAUUAUAUAACCAAAGAUAUUACCUUUACCUACACAUUCAAUGCAACUGGCUGUAAUGUGAAUAAUGCAAGUGAAUGAAGAUCUCAUAAAUAACUUGCAUUCAGAUAUCUGAAACUUAUAUCCGCUGUAUGCAGAUUUUUUUUCUUAACAGGACUGUACAUACCACCACCUCACGGAAGCAAGGCAAUCAAUCACAAACUUAAUUCCUAUUUGUAAAUGGUAACAUACAUGUAGGUUAAAUAUAAAAUAAUACAC